AGCAGGCGGGUGCAGCCUGUCCCGCGUACCCAGGCGUCCUCGGUACCCACGAAACGGAUCCAAAGAGUCUCAACACUAAUGUAACAUCCCACCCUGACCCAUCUUUGCCCUCUGAGAAAAGCGGCCCGAAAUGAGUUGAGUUAUUCAUCCCCACCGCGGAGUCAGGGACAAGGAGCAGUUGAGUGGCCGAGGAGUGAGAGAGAAUCGAAUCCACUCGGGUCCUCCAAGCUGUUGGUUACCCACUUGGGCUUUCACAGCAAAGCUGCCAAAUCCCAGAAUUGAGGCCUCGGUGAAAAGCGCGCUGAGACUUGGGUAGGAGGCCCGGUGGGACCCGCGAGCUUUCUCUCCCAGCCCGAUGCAGCAGUUCAUUAAGCGGCUGUGUUUCCUCCUAACUGGCGAAGGACUCAGGUGGGCGGAGCAGAGCUCAGCUUGGGAGGAGGCGGACGCGAGUAGCUCGGCAGGGGGACUCGCUUGGCUUUCGUGCCAUCCGUGGACACAGUCGCGCGGGUCUUUGUGGGAAGAAACAAAUCACAAAAGCAAUUAAGAGAGCUCAAACAAUGGGGUUUAUGCCAGUUACAUACAAGGAUCCUGCAUAUUUCAGGGACCCUAAAGUUUAUAACAUCAGAUAUCCGGAAUAAAUUCCAUCACAUUACCACCAGUAAACUUAUUUUAUAAGAUGGGUCUCACUGUGUUGCCCAGGCUGGUCUCUAACUCCUGGCCUCAAUCAUUCCUGCCUUGUCUUCCCUAAGUGCUGGGAUUACAGCUGUGAGCCACUGUGCCUGGCCUCACUUUUCCAAUUCUAAAGAAUGUGUGUAAGCCUUUCCCUCAACAACUUAUUGAAAGGCGAAAAAAGGUUUGGAAAUAAAAGGAUCUGAUGUUUGAAAAA
rnacentral:lncRNA from 1 species